CAGGAUGGCCUGAACUUCACCUCGAAUAGCCUGGCCCGAGAUAUCGUUGAGAAGACCUUCGCCUCGAAUCAGCUUCCGUGAUGGCUGGUGCUUAGCCACAUUUUUGCUCAGCUCAUCGGAUUUGUCCAAGUCUAGCAAGGUUUCCAGAUAAAAGAUAGCAGGUUUAGGGCGGCUGGGCUGGGCAGAUUUGGAGGUACAUUCUUGUUUGGUUUCUCUAGUUUUAU